rnacentral:tRNA from 1 species
GCCAGUGUGGUGUAGUGGUUUGAAUGUUGGACUAUGAGUCUGAAGACCAGGGUUCAAAUCCCUGCUCAAGCA